UUAAAAGUAGAUAUCCUUCACAAAUUAUACCUCAGCUACAGCAUGUAUAAACACAGCUUACGACACAUUAAAUGAGAGUCACUUUGACAUUGAGGUGGUACACAAUGUCUUACGUGGAAUCAAAUCGUCGCAUUUUGGAAUCAAAUUGAAGAAUUACAACUAAUGUAUUUAUGAAUGAAUUUAACCUUGAUAAAUAAAUCUGUAAUGCAUCUUUUCACUAUUUAAUUUCUUGGUUUCAAUGGAUGAAUAAAACUGGGAAAUUAAUAUUAGGGCGUAAGCAAAUUUAACUGAGAAUAUUCUUGGGAUUCAUCAAGUACUUACGACACUUGUUACAGUAAUUCCAAUGUCCUCUAUUAAUUGUAUACUGUUUACCGCUUUAUCAAAUUUAUUCAUUAAUGUAAUUAUUUGUGUAAACUGUUUUGUACUUUUAAAUUAUUUAGCAUUAUUAUUAUUAUAAGCUUUGAUAUACAGUUAUGUGAUUUAAUUGUAUCAUUAAUGAAUGAAGAAUUAGUAAUACAGUAUAACUCAUUACUAUAAUAAAUAUUCACAUUUCAUCAUUAUCAUGGACUCAAGAGUCCCUUCAUAAAUAAAAAAAAAACAUUAUGAGUUCAAACUUUGCAUAAAAUACAGUGUUUGACAAGUUCCUAAGUCGGCAACCAGCAAGGUUCUCACAAAACAUAAACAGUACAAAUGUAAAUAUCCCACCUGCCUCCCGAAACAUAAACAAAGGUAAACAUGCCACCUGCCCCACAAAAUAAACAAAGGUAAACAUGCCACCUGCCCCACAAAAUAAACAAAGGUAAACAUGCCACCUGCCCCACAAAACAAAGGUAAACAUGCCACCUGCCCCACAAAAUAAACAAAGGUAAACAUGCCACCUGCCCACAAAACAAAGGUAAACAUGCCACCUGCCCCACAAAAUAAACAAAGGUAAACAUGCCACCUGCCCCC